GUGGCUGGGUAGAAGCGCGGCAUACCUCCUGCCAGCUCAUUCCUAACACGUUCCUCUCUUUGUUCUGUUGUAGUACAAGAUAUAAUUCACUGGGUGUCUGUGAUGUGCCAGGCACUGUCUAUCCUAAGCACUCGCCAGCACCACCUUGUUAAACCCUGUGGCCUAUGUGUGAGAACCCCCGUGUUCCAGGUGAGAAGAUGAGGCAGGGGCGGAGCAGCUAGCCCAGGUCACGCAGGAGCUGGUGCCGCAGCUGACUCCUGUCCACCCUGGAUCUCACAAUUCUCCUUCCCCGAGGACCAUUCACUCUAGCAGGAAUACCUCCUGCUGUGCCAAGUACCUGUUACCACUCGCCUUGACCACCUGUGGGACAUGAGCCAGCCCUGGACCUCAGUCACAGCAGAGACCCCACCCUGGCAGCUCCGUGCGCCUUGUUUGUGUUGGUGAGCUAUGUCUCUCGCAGCAGCCCAGGCGGAGAUCUGGGGCGAGGCGGAGCCUGUUCAGGUUGCGUUGGCACAGCCUCCAGAGAUGGGGGCUUGCAAGUUGCUUUUGAUGGACACGAUCAGACCCUGGUGCUGUGUCCCUCCUUUCCGGGCUCCUCCAGGGUCUGGCUUUGAGGCUUCCCAGAGUGCCAGGCCACGGCCCACUCAGGCGGCAGUUGCUAUGCAGUUCGGCCCCCUCCGGGGCUUAUAAACAGCACCCUCCUUACCGUAGUGCUGGCCGGAGACCCCGCAUUGUUUUCAAGUCUAGAUUGCGAGCCGCAGAGGAGUCCUGUGGGGGGCAGGUGGGGGACAGAAGGCAGAAGCCCCGGCAGCAGGUGGCAGGAGCCAAACUUCAUCUCUCCAGCCCUGCUCCUGCCCACCCCAUCUUCCAGCCCACUGGUCUUGGCCCAUGGGGAACACAGACAGGACUUUGCCCCUAAUCCCUUCAGAUUCUGGCUUUCUAUCUGGAAGGCAGAAGGGAACUUGGAUGCCAUGUUCAUCCUUGCAGGCCCCAUGGUCUGACCCUGUCCUCUCGCCUGUCCCCCUUGCUCUCAAGGCCCCUCCCAGCCCAGGCUGCUCUAUGUGGGACUCUACACUCAGCCCAGAUGCUGCCUGCACCCUCCCUGCUCACCCUCAGGCCUUACUUCCCCUAAAAGCCUUCUCGGCCACUGACCGCUCAAGGAGCCAGCCCGGCUCUCUGUCCUGUCCUGCCGCUCGGCUAUUUUGAGGCACUCAGCACAAUUAUGAUUACUUGUGUCCUUGGUUAUUUGAUUCAUUUGCCUAGCCUAUCCUCUCAGCACCCCAGUGGUCAGCUGCACA
rnacentral:lncRNA from 1 species